CUCCUCAUAGUUCAACGGAUAGAACAGCGGACUCCUAAGCCGCGGAUCCAGGUUCGAUUCCUGGUGAGGAGACCA
rnacentral:tRNA from 1 species